rnacentral:lncRNA from 1 species
AUUUUUAGUAUUUCAAAUCUAACUCUUGUCGAAAUGAUCAGGGCUAGCUGGAGGCCCUAUACUAAUUAUUACAUUGCAUUCUAGGCAUCAAGAAAAUCCUCACGAGUCAAUUCAGAAAGCCUAUCUAGCUAAAGGUACUAUUCAUUCUUCAGAGAUAGGUCAUUGUUAGCAUCAGCAGGUUGAGGUACACCUGAUUGAAGACUUGACUAUUGCAUUAACGUUGGAAGAAAUUAACUGGACUGAAUUUGGUGGGCAAAAUUGUUGGUACCAAGUACUAGAUCAGAACUAUUUGCUUCAAAAUUUUGUACCAAAAAAUCUUACUUGUUGACAUUGUAUCUUGUUCCAGAUUUCUGCUUCUAAUUUUCUGUCGGCUCUCUUCUCAAAUGAAUCAUCUUUGUAAAUG